GCUCGCUUCGGCAGCACAUGCUGAAAUUGGAACCAUACGGAGAAGGUCAGCAGGGCCCCUGCGCAAGCAUGAUAUGCAAAUGCGUGAAGCAUUCCAUGUUUUU